rnacentral:lncRNA from 1 species
CGUCUAAAAUUUACUCUCACAAGAAUAAAAUGGCUUCGGAUUGUAACUUUUGCGUGAAAAAAAAUGAUUCAUCUUUUUUUGCAACAUGAAUCAUUGGAUAGUACAACAAUUGCUUCGAGAACUAUGUAUGCAGAUAAAAUAAUGAUUAAAAUACUUUAAGAUCUGUGCAAGCACAAUCUAAUAGUUGAUGUUACGAAAGAAGAUCAAUCAUUCUAUCAUGUGAA